rnacentral:rRNA from 1 species
CCCCGGUAAACGGCGGCCGUAACUAUAACGGUCCUAAGGUAGCGAAAUUCCUUGUCGGGUAAGUUCCGACCUGCACGAAUGGCGUAAUGAUGGCCAGGCUGUCUCCACCCGAGACUCAGUGAAAUUGAACUCGCUGUGAAGAUGCAGUGUACCCGCGGCAAGACGGAAAGACCCCGUGAACCUUUACUAUAGCUUGACACUGAACAUUGAGCCUUGAUGUGUAGGAUAGGUGGGAGGCUUUGAAGUGUGGACGCCAGUCUGCAUGGAGCCGACCUUGAAAUACCACCCUUUAAUGUUUGAUGUUCUAACGUGGACCCGUAAUCCGGGUUGCGGACAGUGUCUGGUGGGUAGUUUGACUGGGGCGGUCUCCUCCUAAAGAGUAACGGAGGAGCACGAAGGUUGGCUAAUCCUGGUCGGACAUCAGGAGGUUAGUGCAAUGGCAUAAGCCAGCUUGACUGCGAGCGUGACGGCGCGAGCAGGUGCGAAAGCAGGUCAUAGUGAUCCGGUGGUUCUGAAUGGAAGGGCCAUCGCUCAACGGAUAAAAGGUACUCCGGGGAUAACAGGCUGAUACCGCCCAAGAGUUCAUAUCGACGGCGGUGUUUGGCACCUCGAUGUCGGCUCAUCACAUCCUGGGGCUGAAGUAGGUCCCAAGGGUAUGGCUGUUCGCCAUUUAAAGUGGUACGCGAGCUGGGUUUAGAACGUCGUGAGACAGUUCGGUCCCUAUCUGCCGUGGGCGCUGGAGAACUGAGGGGGGCUGCUCCUAGUACGAGAGGACCGGAGUGGACGCAUCACUGGUGUUCGGGUUGUCAUGCCAAUGGCACUGCCCGGUAGCUAAAUGCGGAAGAGAUAAGUGCUGAAAGCAUCUAAGCACGAAACUUGCCCCGAGAUGAGUUCUCCCUGAGACUUAGAGUCUCCUGAAGGAACGUUGAAGACGACGACGUUGAU